CGUGUGACCAACUUGAGCUUUGUAUCCACCUAAUUUCUGUUAUCAUGUCAUAAAAUGAGCUCUAAAAACGAAUGGACGGAAUGGAUUUCUCACAUACAUUGACGUGGGCCUCACCCAUCAUACUUGCGCAGGAAAUCCGUGUCCGCUUCCUUGGGGGAUGAGUUACCCGCGGCCAUAAUACCCUCAUUCAUUUGCAGCAAAGAGAGCGAGAGAGAGGAAAUGGCGACGAUGAAGGCCAUUUGAGAGAGCAACUGGCGUUGAUAAAGGUCAUUAUAGCUGGGCAUAUCUUCGAUAGCCGUGGAAAUCGAAACAUUGAGGUGGAUGCUUGUCUGAGUGAUGGAACUCUAGCUAGGGCUGUUGUCACGAGUGGCGCCUUGACAGUUAUGGUGUUAUAUCUGUACCAGAAGUGACGGAUUGACAGCCUCUAACUAGCAAUGAUAGAUACCUGGUGGCUGCAAUUGAUGGGGUCUCCGAGAAAAUGACUGUGCAGGAUAUCUGUGAUCUAAUAUGGGACGUACGCAUUCAAGACAGUGAAAAAUCAGAAUCUGUUUCUACCAACACAAAAUUGUUGGCUGUGUGGAAGGCUAUGUGGCAGUUCAUGUGCAUUUGUAGUUUGUUUUGAAAACUUUAAAUAGACCAUUAAUUGUUUUGUUGGUAUUGUGCUGAUUGUUUUCUCU